rnacentral:rRNA from 1 species
CCUACGGGUGGCAGCAGUCGAGAAUCAUUCACAAUGGUGGAAACGCUGAUGGUGCGACGUCGCGUGGGGGACUGAAGGUCUUCGGAUUGUAAACCCCUGUCAUGUGGGGGCAAAUUAAAAAGAUAGUACCACAACAGGAAUAGACGGUUAACUAUGUGCCAGCAGCCGCGGUAAUACAGAGGUCUCAAGCGUUGUUCGGAAUCCCUGGGCGUAAAGCGUGCGUAGGCUGUUUCGUAAGUAGUGUGUGAAAGGCGCGGGCUCAAGCCGCGGACGGCAGCUGAUACUGCGAGACUAGAGUAGUGGAGGGGUAACCGGAAUGCGCGGUGUAGCAGUGAAAUGCGUAGAUAGCGAGAGGAACACUGGUGGCGAAGGCGGGUUACUGGAGAUUAACUGACGCUGAGGCACGAAGGCGAGGGGAGCGAAAGGGAUUAGAUACCCUAGUAGUC